GAAGAGAACUUUUAGAACCGUAAGGUAAAAGAGAAGUGGCGGCCUCCCCACCAAUCGUUAAUCUUCCAUGAGAGAAACAUUCGUCCCGGCUCACGAGUGUUCGAAACUUGAGACCAAAGCCUCCACCAACCCCCUGGCAUACGUAUAAGGCAUUGGGAAUUCCCGCCUGCCCCCUCCCCUUUCUCCGAAGUACCCAGCAUUUAUCGUUUGAAGAAGACGAAUACGAUUCAGUCGGGAAAUUCUCGUCGAAGCUCUCGGAAUGCUGGAUAUGUUGAAAGCCUCGAAACCUCGGAAGAGGACAAAUCCCAUCUUAUUUGGAAAUUUUGUGCGUGUGCGACAGAAAGAGAAAGAAGGAAAAUAAAAAGAAAAGAAGCAUCGGGAUAUUGAUUAAGAGUGUUAUUCUUUUAACGUGACGUUACGUUAUAAUAUAAGGAAUAUAAAAAAAUCGCGGGAAAUCUGCAGUCGGCAAAUUACAUUUCAUUUUCCUAAAGGAACAAUACGUAUUGUUGAUGGAUGCUGAUAAUAGCUCCAUCACGUUCGAAGAUUCACGGUGUUUUCACAGCUCGGCAGAUUUCGUCGCCAUGUGAAAACGACAGAUUUUCCUUCGUCAUUGAUCACAGCCAGCCAAAUCGGAAGACAAACGAGGCAAACACGGUCGACAGAUCCGGCUGUCGCAGCCACCCUGUUUUGAGCAAAAGAGAGAACGAGAACACAGAUUUGGUUCGCCCGCUGGCAAUUACAGGCCAUGGAUUUGCAUGAAAAAAAAAAA